GGUUAUAAACAUUGUGUUAAAAUUUUUUGAUUUCUUUUUACUUAUAUAAAUACAAAAGUUAUAAUUCGAAAACAAUCCGUCUUCGGACGAUGUGAUACCAAUAUACAACCAUAUUUUUUUUUUUUUUUUUUGCGGAUGUAUAAAAAAUAAUGAAGUCAGUGGGAUUAAGAAAAGCAUGAAAUGUCCAUAGACUCGAACUGGUCUUACCUUUUUAGCUUGCCAAUAUUUCAUUAUGUUUUAAAUCAUUGUCUUAUUGGUCAAUGUUUACAAACUCCUGAUGUACAAAAUUCCAAUUAGGAUGUGUAUUCGAAAGUUGACUUUGCGCAUGUGUGUACAUGGUGAAAAUAGAAGAAAACUUACAGAGGCUUGAAAUGGGGAAAAUGGUCCUGAUUUUAUGUUUGGUGAUGAAAUAAAGUUUAUUUGAGACUUAAUUUACUGAUGUUAACUUAUUCUAUAAUUCAAAGGAGUACAUGUAACACUUCUUUGUGAUGAAAAUACAAGACUCUUAUGGUAACCUUAUAAGAGAUGGUGAAAUUGCAUCACUCUUUAUCUUAGCUGUAACUAAAGCUAGGAACGUGGCCAUAGUUUGAUAAAAUACAAUAUUGUCUUAAGGGAGCUACCAUUUGAUUUUUAUGGGGGGGGGGGGGGCUAGGAUGAAAAAUUUUGUCCUGCAUUUUUUUUUAAGUUGUAAUCUCUGUCCUGCCUUUUUAUUUUUCACUCUAUUCGGUCCUGCCUUUUUUUUUAUUAUAGUUUAUCCUGACUUUUUUUUACCUAAAUUGUCAUCCUGCCUUUUUUUUUGCAAAGUGUCUCAUCCUGCCUUUUUUUUUUACGCAAAACUCCUGUCCUGCCUAUUUUUUUCAAAUUUCAUCCUAGCCCCCUCCAUAAAAAUCAAAUGGUAGCUCCCUAAAUGACUGCCAUGCAUAAAUAGAUUUCCAGAAGAUAUUUGCUAAUUGACUAGAAGUAAAUCUUAGUCAUAUGUCAUGUACAUGUAUGUCAGAUUCUAAAAUAAAUAAAAUAAAAUGUCUAAUUCAUGGCUCAUGCUAGCAGGCGACAUCAGUGUUCAAGUCGCUUUCCAAUCAAUUCCUUUUGCCUAACCAUCAAAAGUGAAAUCUAGUCAUGCUGUUGUCACCUGACCAUUCUCUAUUUAGUUGCUUUCAUGGAUCAUUCUUAACAAGUCAAUGAAACAUAAUUUAUUUUUAUGAUAAUUAAAAGAUUUGGACUUAAAUUGUAUACUCCAACUUGAAUUGAACAAUAUAAAAAGAACAUUAUUUACAUAUAUAAACUCA
rnacentral:lncRNA from 1 species